rnacentral:rRNA from 1 species
UACGUAGGGUGCGAGCGUUAAUCGGAAUUACUGGGCGUAAAGCGUGCGCAGGCGGUUUUGUAAGCCAGAUGUGAAAUCCCCGGGCUUAACCUGGGAAUGGCAUUUGGGACUGCAAGGCUGGAGUGCGGCAGAGGAGACUGGAAUUCCUGGUGUAGCAGUGAAAUGCGUAGAUAUCAGGAGGAACACCGAUGGCGAAGGCAGGUCUCUGGACAGUUCCUGACACUGAGACACGAAGGCCAGGGGAGCAAACGGG